rnacentral:lncRNA from 1 species
GAGUAAGAUUUUUUAUGGUUCUAUGUCAGGUAUCAGAGUAAUAGUGCAUUCAUUCAAGUAUAACAGUCAUUCAUUCAUUCAUUCAUCCAAAAAAAAAAGAGGUGAGCCAUGAUAAUAACCUCAUUCAUUAAUUACAACAAAAAGAGAGGUUACAAAAGUCAUAAUAUAUGUCUAUGAGCAUAAAGCUCUCAUACAUCCAAUCUACAAAAUACAACUAAGUAACCUAAUGCAAAAUGAUGAAAUCAAUGAGAAUGGGCAUCGAGCUCAAGAUCA